rnacentral:tRNA from 1 species
UAGGCUUUAGCUUAAUUAAAGUGUCUGUUUUGCAUGCAGUAGAUGUGGAUUAAAGGUCUGCAAGUCUAA